rnacentral:lncRNA from 1 species
GUAUCCUAAAGAAACUAAUGGAUACUGCUUCUACCAUCCUACUGAACAAAAGGUACUUGUUAGUAGGCAUGCCACUUUCUUGAAAAAUGAAUUCAUUUAAGAAUGAGGCAGUGGGAGGAAUAUUAAAUUUACCAAAGUUUAGAAUCUACAACCAAUCCAAAAAUAUUUAUGGUUGAACCAUAAGAAGAUCCUCAACCAGAAGUAUCCAAGGAUGGGAUACAUCCACAAUAUACACCUCCUCUCUAA